rnacentral:rRNA from 1 species
ACAGGGAUUGCCCUAGUAACGGCGAGUGAAGCGGCAACAGCUCAAAUUUGAAAUCUGGCUCUUUUAGAGUCCGAGUUGUAAUUUGCAGAGGGCGCUUUGGCUUUGGCAGCGGUCCAAGUUCCUUGGAACAGGACGUCACAGAGGGUGAGAAUCCCGUACGUGGUCGCUAGCUAUUGCCGUGUAAAGCCCCUUCGACGAGUCGAGUUGUUUGGGAAUGCAGCUCUAAAUGGGAGGUAAAUUUCUUCUAAAGCUAAAUAUUGGCCAGAGACCGAUAGCGCACAAGUAGAGUGAUCGAAAGAUGAAAAGCACUUUGGAAAGAGAGUCAAACAGCACGUGAAAUUGUUGAAAGGGAAGCGCUUGCAGCCAGACUUGCUUGCAGUUGCUCAUCCGGGCUUUUGCCCGGUGCACUCUUCUGCAGGCAGGCCAGCAUCAGUUUGGGCGGUGGGAUAAAGGUCUCUGACACGUUCCUUCCUUCGGGUUGGCCAUAUAGGGGAGACGUCAUACCACCAGCCUGGACUGAGGUCCGCGCAUCUGCUAGGAUGCUGGCGUAAUGGCUGUAAGCGGCCCGUCUUGAAACACGGACCAAGGAGUCUAACAUCUAUGCGAGUGUUUGGGUGUCAAGCCCGAGCGCGUAAUGAAAGUGAACGGAGGUGGGAACCCGCAAGGGUGCACCAUCGACCGAUCCUGAAGUUUACGGAAGGAUUUGAGUAAGAGCAUGGCUGUUGGGACCCGAAAGAUGGUGAACUAUGCUUGAAUAGGGUGAAGCCAGAGGAAACUCUGGUGGAGGCUCGCAGCGGUUCUGACGUGCAAAUCGAUCGUCAAAUUUGGGCAUAGGGGCGAAAGACUAAUCGAACUAUCUAGUAGCUGGUUCCUGCG